CAUGCAAGUCGAGCGGUCAAAAUGAGGGGGCUUGCCCCUGAAAGACGAGCGGCGGACGGGUGAGUAAUGCGCGGGAACGCGCCCUUUGGAGGGGGACAACCUUGGGAAACCAGGGCUAAUACCGCAUAACCUCCACGGAGCAAAGCGGGGGAUUUCUUCGGAAACCUCGCGCCAAAGGAGCGGCCCGCGUCCGAUUAGUUUGACGGCGGGGUAACAGCCCACCGUGACUACCAUCGGUAGCUGGUCUGAGAGGAUGAUCAGCCACACCGGGACUGAGACACGGCCCGGACUCCUACGGGAGGCAGCAGUGGGGAAUAUUGGACAAUGGGGGCAACCCUGAUCCAGCGAUGCCGCGUGUGUGAAGAAGGCCUUCGGGUUGUAAAGCACUUUCGCAGGGGAAGAAACGGUGCGCUCUAACAUAGCGCGCAACUGACGGUACCCUGAAAAGAAGCGCCGGCUAAUUCCGUGCCAGCAGCCGCGGUAAUACGGAAGGCGCAAGCGUUAAUCGGAAUGACUGGGCGUAAAGCGUGCGCAGGCGGCCGCGCAAGUCGGACGUGAAAGCCCCGGGCUCAACCCGGGAAUGGCGUUCGAAACUGCGCG
rnacentral:rRNA from 1 species